UACGUAGGGCGCAAGCGUUGUCCGGAAUUAUUGGGCGUAAAGAGCUCGUAGGCGGCCUGUUGCGUCCGCUGUGAAAUCCCGGGGCUUAACCCCGGGCUUGCAGUGGAUACGGGCAGGCUGGAGGCAGGCAGGGGAGAACGGAAUUCCCGGUGUAGCGGUGAAAUGCGCAGAUAUCGGGAGGAACACCGGUGGCGAAGGCGGUUCUCUGGGCCUGUUCUGACGCUGAGGAGCGAAAGCGUGGGGAGCGAACAGG
rnacentral:rRNA from 1 species